UGAAUAAGUUUGUUAAAACUAUAUAAUUGUGUGUUUUCUACUGUGAUAUACUGUACGAGAAGUAUCGAGAUGUUGUGUUGUACUGUAUGAGCAAUAUCGAGAUGCUAUGAUACAUCAUGCCAGUGGGAUUGGAGUAGUUAGGGGCCACCUUAAAGUCUAUAGUCAGGUACCGUCAUGCUUAUGGAUUGUUUUCUUACAAAUCCAAGUCCCAGAGCUCGAAAGAUCUCUUGACAAAAUCUUGAUGACCACCGUCUCACCGUUCUCUCAAAUUAAGGUCUCAUGAUACCACAAGGGUGAGGACCAAGAUGAUUUACGCGAGUUCAUAGGAGAGUUUCAAGAGAGAGCUUGACGGAAUUCAGUUGGUGAUGAAGAUGCCGCAAUACAAUGAAUGGCCUGCGAACCUAGUUGUAUGUUAGGACAUUUGGAAGCAAGAUGAAUGGAGUGAUGUGAAAUGGUAAUGGGGAAUGUUGGUAUGAUGGC